UGACGGCAGAUGACAGAGCUCAUCGCCCAAUGAUCGGCCAAUCCUUCCCCUCCUUCACACCCUAGCUCCUCCUCCUCCUCCUCCUCGGCGAUUGCCUUUGUGAAUCCGAACGUGACGGCGUCCGCAUUCCAAGAGCGGAAACUCGACCCAGACGGCGAGAGUCACGUGACCGUCUUCCUUCUCUCCACAUAAUGUUCAUAAAAGUGCGCGCGAAUCCGUCGCUCCUGAUAUCCACAAGAAACCGGCAAUUCCUUUGGACUUGAACUUCGUCUCGGUGGGACCAACCUUUUUUUGUGCUAACCAUGUCUGAUGUUGAGAAGGUCUGCGUUGAUGCCAAGGAGAAGGGCUGCUGCGACGACGCAGCCAAGACCCCAGAGCCCACCAAGGAAGGGGACUGCUGUACUGGAUCUACUCCAGCGGACAGCGCCGGCGAGAGCGCGCCUAGCGAGGUCGCAGCCCCACAGGAGGCGUCAUAGCCCAGUCUUUCCACAAGAAGCAGGGAGUCGGCUCCAAAGGGGUUCCGUCACCCAGCAACACCAAAUGAUUCCUAAUUUGUACACUGAAAUCUUUUGCGGCCAAGUUAGUGGCUUGCCCAAACUAUUUAUGUAUACCACGUGAGAUAAAAGCUGAAAAGAAUUGUGUUCACACAAA